GUAAUCUCUUAAAAGACAUCUAAUGAGAUUGGAAUGAUAAAGAGUAGAUCAGCAUGGCCCUUGCACAAGUAUGACACACCCUACUAGUAGCAGCAAUUUUGUCUU
rnacentral:snRNA from 1 species